AUUGAACGCUGGCGGCAGGCCUAACACCUGCACGUCGAACGCGUGGCGGACGGGUGAGUAAUGUCUGGGAAACUGCCUGAUGGAGGGUGCUAACUACUGUACACGGUAGCUAAUACCGCAUACCAUCGGAUGUUCCCAGAUGGGAUUAGCUAUUCGGUUGGGUAAAGGCUCACCUAGGCGACGAUCACUAGCUGGUCUGAGAGGAUGACCAGCCACACGGGAACGGAGACACGGUCCAGACUCCUACGGGAGGCAGCAGUGGGGAAUAUUGCACAAUGGGCGAAAGCCGGAUGCAGCCAUGCCGCGUGUAUGAAGAAGGCCUUCGGGUUGUAAAGUACUUUCAGCUGGGAGGCGUUACCCGCAGAAGAAGCACCGGCUAACUCCGUGCCAGCAGCCGCGGUAAUAC
rnacentral:rRNA from 1 species